rnacentral:rRNA from 1 species
ACGGGAAGAGCCCAAACCAACAAGCUUGCUUGUUGGGGUUGUAGGACACUCUAUACGGAGUUACAAAGGACGACAUUAGACGAAUCAUCUGGAAAGAUGAAUCAAAGAAGGUAAUAAUCCUGUAGUCGAAAAUGUUGUCUCUCUUGAGUGGAUCCUGAGUACGACGGAGCACGUGAAAUUCCGUCGGAAUCUGGGAGGACCAUCUCCUAAGGCUAAAUACUCUCUAGUGACCGAUAGUGAACCAGUACCGUGAGGGAAAGGUGAAAAGCACCCCGGAAGGGGAGUGAAAUAGAACCUGAAACCGUGUGCUUACAAGUAGUCAGAGCCCGUUAAUGGGUGAUGGCGUGCCUUUUGUAGAAUGAACCGGCGAGUUACGAUUUGAUGCAAGGUUAAGCAGUAAAUGUGGAGCCGUAGCGAAAGCGAGUCUGAAUAGGGCGUUUAGUAUUUGGUCGUAGACCCGAAACCAGGUGAUCUACCCUUGGUCAGGUUGAAGUUCAGGUAACACUGAAUGGAGGACCGAACCGACUUACGUUGAAAAGUGAGCGGAUGAACUGAGGGUAGCGGAGAAAUUCCAAUCGAACCUGGAGAUAGCUGGUUCUCUCCGAAAUAGCUUUAGGGCUAGCCUCAAGUGAUGAUUAUUGGAGGUAGAGCACUGUUUGGACGAGGGGCCCCUCUCGGGUUACCGAAUUCAGACAAACUCCGAAUGCCAAUUAAUUUAACUUGGGAGUCAGAACAUGGGUGAUAAGGUCCGUGUUCGAAAGGGAAACAGCCCAGACCACCAGCUAAGGUCCCAAAAUAUAUGUUAAGUGGAAAAGGAUGUGGCGUUGCCCAGACAACUAGGAUGUUGGCUUAGAAGCAGCCAUCAUUUAAAGAGUGCGUAAUAGCUCACUAGUCGAGUGACACUGCGCCGAAAAUGUACCGGGGCUAAACAUAUUACCGAAGCUGUGGAUUGUCCUUUGGACAAUGGUAGGAGAGCGUUCUAAGG